rnacentral:rRNA from 1 species
UACGUAGGUGACAAGCGUUGUCCGGAUUUACUGGGCGUAAAGCGUGCGCAGGCGGUUUUGUAAGCCAGAUGUGAAAGUCCAGGGCUCAACCCUGGGAUGCCGGUCGAUACUGCCGGACUAGAGUUCGGAAGAGGCGAGUGGAAUUCCCGGUGUAGCGGUGAAAUGCGUAGAUAUCAAGAGGAACACCUGAGGUGAAGACGGGUUGCUGGGCGUGACACUGACGGCUGAGGCG